GAAAUGCGAAACGUAAUGUGAUUUGCAUACUGUAGAACAUCGAAUUCUUGAACGCAUAUUGCACCUUAGGGUUAUUCCUUGAGGAGUACUUGUUCGAGCGCCGGUAGAAUUUUAAGGCUUUGCCUUGCGUUGACGGUUCCAAGCAAUUGUAACUGUCUAAACUCGUCGGACUACUUCUGUGCCUGAAGUACAACAAAAUGUAUGACAGUCUCAAAAAAGGUCCUUAAACACGACAGCAUGGCCUCGGAUCAAGUAAGAUUACCCGCUGAACUUAA
rnacentral:misc_RNA from 1 species